GUUGAAACCCGGUAGCAUUCUGUUUUCAACCUGGAAAGACUUUUUCCUUUUCAGAAUUGAGACACACAAGCACCAGAAGUAGAUACUUGUUUCAGGCACCAUCCGGUGCUGCCAUCCCCGCAACCAUGGCUCCAGCUCUUCCACCAAAACUUGCCACCGUCUCCGUCCUCUCCUUUCUCAUGCUAGUCUCGUGUGCUGCGGGUCGGGACAUUCUGCAGCUGGGAUCCUCCCUCGCUGUGGAAACCUACCAGAGUGACAUCCUGCGGUCACCGGACGGCACCUUCUCCUGCGGCUUCUACAGCGUCUACGACAAGGCCUUCACGUUCUCAAUAUGGUACUCCGAGGCGGCCAACAAGACCAUCGUCUGGAGCGCGAACCGUGACCGCCCCGUCCACUCCAGGGGGUCAGUCCUGACCUUGCGCAAGGACGGCAACAUGGUCCUCAGAGACUACGACGACACCAUCCUGUGGGAAGCUGGAGAUUACCUCAGAAAUGUUCAGCAUGCUCAGCUGCUGGACACCGGAAAUCUCGUCAUGAAGAAUACCAGCGACGACAUAGUAUGGCAGAGCUUUGAUUCACCGACAGACACGAUCCUGCCAUCCCAGGGCAUCACAGCUGCGACAAAGUUGGUCCCGACAACCCAGUCUCGUUCUCCUGGUAACUACAUCUUCCGUUUCAAUGAUAUAUCGGUGCUGUCACUCAUAUACGAUGUUCCUGAUGUCUCGGAUAUAUAUUGGCCGAAUCCUGAUAAUAGCGUCUACGACAAUAACAGAAGCCGGUAUAACAGUACUAGAUUGGGGAGUUUAGACAGCAAUGGGGUGCUUGCAUCUAGUGAUUUUGCUGAUGGAAUACUACUUAAGGCAUCUGAUGCAGCAGCACCGGGGACCAAGAGAAGGCUAACUCUCGACCCUGAUGGUAAUCUCCGGAUUUACAGCCUGGAUGACUUGGAUGGGGUGUGGUCAAUUUCAAUGGUAGCAAUCUCCCAGCCUUGCACCAUCCAUGGUCUAUGCGGUCAGAAUGGAAUCUGCCAUUACUCGCCUAAACCUACGUGUUCAUGCCCACCAGGUUACGUGAUGACCAACCCAGGUAACUGGACUGAAGGCUGCACGGCUACUUUCAAAUUAACUUGUGGUGAUCAGGAACCUGUGCAGUUUGUGAAGCUCCACCACACGGAUUUCUGGGGAUCUGAUCAGAAGCGUCUUCUAGGAAUUUCCUUGGACGCUUGUAUGGACAUUUGCAUCCGUGACUGCACCUGCAAAGGCUUCCAAUACCAGGAAGGCACAGGGUCAUGCUACCCGAAAUCUCUUCUUUUCAAUGGAAUGAGUUGUGCGACACCCAGGGUGCGAGCAAUCUAUCUCAAGCUCCCUGCCAGUUUCAAUGUUUCAGAUAAACCUAUUCCCCAGUCAAAUGUGUUGGAUCCGGCACCGCCUACUCUGCAGUGCGAACAGAUGAGCCGGGGAGUCAGAUACCCAUUUCCGGAUGUAAAAGAAACCAGUGAUGGAGAAUCGAAGUGGUUCUACUUCUACAGUUUCAUAGUUGCAAUUUCUAUUAUUGAGGUUUCCUUCAUAGCAUUUGCAUGGUUCUUCGUCUUUAGAAGAGAGCUGGGGCCAUCAGAAAUGUGGGCAGCCGAGGAAGGUUACAAGGUGAUGACUAGCCAUUUUCGAAGAUACAGUUACACAGAGCUCGUGAAGGCAACAAGAGAGUUCAGAGUUGAGCUAGGAAGGGGAAGAUCAGGCGUUGUGUAUAAAGGUGUACUAGAAGAUGAAAGGCCAGUGGCUGUGAAGAAGCUUAAAAAUAUAAGUCGAGGCAAGGAAGAGUUUCAAGCUGAGCUGAGCAUCAUUGGCAGGAUUAACCACAUGAAUCUUGCGAGAAUAUGGGGGUUUUGCUCAGAAGGGUCACACAGGCUGUUGGUUUGUGAGUAUGUGGAGAACGGAUCCCUGGCAAACAUUUUGUUCAGAGACCAAAAAACUUUCGUCCUGGACUGGAAGCAAAGGUUUAAUAUUGCAUUAGGUGUGGCCAAAGGAUUGGCCUAUCUUCACCAUGAGUGCUUAGAAUGGGUCAUCCACUGUGAUGUGAAACCUGAGAACAUACUGCUGGACACAGACUUUGAGCCUAAGAUCACUGACUUUGGGUUGGCGAAGUUGCUAAGCAGAGCUGGAUCCAGUCAGAACAUGUCGCAGGUGCGAGGAACAGUAGGUUACAUAGCUCCCGAGUGGGUUUCUGGCCUCCCAAUCACAGCGAAAGUUGAUGUGUACAGUUAUGGAAUUGUGCUGCUUGAGCUUUUAUCUGGGGCAAGAGUUUCGGAGCUGGCUGUCAGUUCAGAUGUGCACAGCAUGCUCCGGCAGCUUGUCAGUGUUCUUGCUGAUAAACUGGAGGGGCAUGAAGAAUCAUGGGUGUGUGAAUUUGUUGACCAGGAAUUGAGUGGACAGUUUAACUAUCUGCAAGCAAGAACGGUGAUCAAGUUGGCUAUUUCUUGCUUGCAAGAAGAUAGAAACAAGAGACCGACCAUGGAAUCUGUUGUCCAGACUCUCCUCUCGUUUGAUGAAGCUAGUGAUUAGUGCUAGGACUACAGCUGUUCGUGGAAUGUGUAAAUAGGGUCUACAGGACUCAUAUUUUUUAGAUAAGUAGUCCUAGAAGUCAUCGAGGUAAAAGAAAGAUGCUGAAGGGUGUCAACAGAAUCUAGUGUGCAUCACCACAGACGCCAGGAGAAGCCAAACCAUUUUGCCAGAAGGCGCCCUUCUUGGCUAGCUACCUACACACUUGGUGAAGAACAGAGCUCAGGUCUGCAGGAGUCAUUUUUAUAGAGGAAGUAGUCCUAGAAGUUAUCGAGGUAGUAGUCCUAGAAGUUAUCGAGGUAACAAGAAAGAUGCUGAAGGGUGUCAACAGAAUCUAGUAUGCUACCACAGACGCCAGGCGAAGCCAAACCACUUUGCAAGAAGGCGCCCUUCUUAGCUAAGCUACCUACACACUUUGUGAAAAACAAAGCACAUGCAGAUGACAACUAUAAUUUGUAUGUUUGCCUCCUGCAUGUGUGACCUUGCUAAACGUAUAGGGAGGCCAAUUAUCUAUGUCAGUUUUAUUAUUGAUGUAGUGAAGAUCGUCGGUUGGAU